GGCCGCCGCCUUCCGCCCCAUGGGCCCCGCGGGCCCCGCGGCGCAGUACCAGGUUAAAGAGGAGGAAGAUGGCAGAUAAGGUUCUACCUCAGCGAAUCCGGGAGCUUGUUCCAGAGUCUCAGGCGUACAUGGAUCUCUUGGCUUUUGAGCGGAAGCUGGACCAGACCAUUGCUCGCAAGCGGAUGGAGAUCCAGGAGGCCAUCAAAAAGCCUCUGACAGUAUGUGUGGCCCUGACCACCUCCAGCCUUCCCAGGUUUCCUUGUCCUCCACCCCCUUGUUUUCCAGGGGCCAAGCAAGUUGGGCUAGAGCCGGGUUUUUCACAUGCAGGAUGCAGCCCACUAGUAGAGUACGAACUCAGUUGAAUGUGUUGGGGCCAGUAUGUUUUAAAUGAAUA
rnacentral:sRNA from 1 species